UACGUAGGGGGCAAGCGUUGUCCGGAAUCAUUGGGCGUAAAGAGCGUGUAGGCGGCCAGAUAAGUCCGCUGUGAAAUCUCGAGGCUCAACUUCGAGCUGUCGGUGGAGACUGUCUGGCUAGAGUCCGGAAGAGGAGAAUGGAAUUCCUGGUGUAGCGGUGAGAUGCGCAGAUAUCAGGAAGAACACCCGUGGCGAAGGCGGUUCUCUGGGACGGUACUGACGCUGAGACGCGAAAGCGUGGGGAGCGAACAGG
rnacentral:rRNA from 1 species